GGACCCGCACAAGCGGUGGAGCAUGUGGUUUAAUUCGACGAUAAGCGAGGAACCUCACCAAGGUUUGACAUCUAGCUGCAGACUCCUGGAAACAGGAGAGCCUUCGAGGGUGCUAGACAGAUGCUGCAUGGUUGUCGUCAGCUCGUGUCGUGAGAUGUACCGUUAAGUCGGAAAACGAGCGCAACCCUUAUUCUAUGUUUCAUGUGUCAUAGAAAACUGCCUGCGUUAAGCAGGAGGAAGGUGGGGAUGACGUCAAAUCAGCAUGGUUCUUACACCUUGGGCGACACACGUGCUACAAUGGGUAAUACAAAGGGACGCCAAACCGUAAGGUGGAGCAAAUCCCCCAAAAUUACUCUCAGUUCGGAUUGAGGUCUGCAACUCGACCUCAUGAAGCCGGAAUCGCUAGUAAACGCGUAUCAGCCACGGCGCGUUGAAUACGUUCUCGGGUCUU
rnacentral:rRNA from 1 species